CUAUUAAUGGGAAAAUUUUCCCUCUUAUCA
rnacentral:tRNA from 1 species